CCGGUCCUAACUCAGCCUGGCUAGAGUGCUCGGCUGUAGACCGAGAUGUCCGGAGUUCGAAUCUCCGGGACCGGACCA
rnacentral:tRNA from 1 species